rnacentral:rRNA from 1 species
CCUACGGGUGGCAGCAGUGGGGAAUAUUGCGCAAUGGGCGAAAGCCUGACGCAGCGACGCCGCGUGAGGGAUGAAGGUCUUCGGAUCGUAAACCUCUGUCAGCAGGGAAGAACGGUCACUGUGCUAAUCAGCAGUGCAUUGACGGUACCUGCAAAGGAAGCACCGGCUAACUCCGUGCCAGCAGCCGCGGUAAUACGGAGGGUGCGAGCGUUAAUCGGAAUUACUGGGCGUAAAGCGCUCGUAGGUGGGAUGUCAAGUCAAGGGUGAAAUCCCCGCGCUCAACGUGGGAACUGCCUUUGAUACUGGCAAACUGGAGGUUGUGAGAGGAUAGUGGAAUUCCAGGUGUAGGAGUGAAAUCCGUAGAUAUCUGGAGGAACAUCAGUGGCGAAGGCGACUAUCUGGCACAUAACUGACGCUGAGGAGCGAAAGCGUGGGUAGCAAACAGGAUUAGAUACCCUUGUAGUC